rnacentral:lncRNA from 1 species
UCCUUUGGAGCAAUUACAUCAAUAUACAAGCCUUAAAAUCCAAAGAACACCAAAAUACUUGAUAAGAUGUUAUAAAAAACUUAUAUAUCCUUAUGAGGAAUUUUUCCCGAAGUUCAACAGUUCAUAACUUACGAUCUAACCGUCUAAACAACUCCAAAUUUUACAUAGAGUACUGAUAUAUCUUUAGCAACUACCACACCAAAAUUCAACCGUAAAUUCGUCUUGGAUCUUGUGAUAUCUUCAAAACCCUAACUGUAGCUUCAAACCCUAGCUUUUUUACACCCGUGUACAACUUCCUUCAUAUCUCACAAAGUAAUUCUUCAAAUACUAUGAAAUUUUGAUCUAAAGCUUUUUAACUCAAUUACAUACACUUGUGGAAAUUUUGAGCCAAAAAUUCGUCCAGAAACUCAAGAUAUGGCUUCACCCAUAACUAGCAACAAAACGAUAUACUUACUGCCUUCAAAUUACAAGUGCUGUCUUCAACGCCUCAUAACUCCUUUACCCAAUCUUAGAAUUCACUAUACAGUAAGUAGAAUGUGUAGCCGAGAAAAUGCUCCCUCCAAAUCCAGUCGCCGAUCUUCCGUUGCUCUCCGUAUUCGUAUGUGAUGCCCAAAAGAAGUGACAGUAGGUACGAAAUUGACACCUUAUCUUUGAACAUUCAUAUCUUUUCCAUAAAAACUCGAAAUCACACAAAAUCUUCACCCAAAUUAUAUCCAAAACUCUAAACCUUUUGAUCCUAGCCUCAAA